CGUUCUGGAGAAUUCCGUAACAAUCGGAUGCCGAAGGUGCAAGGAACCGUACCCGUUCCAAAUCUCUCAGGCAAAAGGACAGAAU
rnacentral:ncRNA from 1 species